rfam:Oryza meridionalis cultivar OR44 (W2112) chromosome 7, whole genome shotgun sequence.
AACAAGCGCAACUAUAAAUUUUCGUGUCCAACUUGGAUCGCCCGUCCUAUUUGAAUUUUUUUUUAUAAUUAGUAUUCUUAUUGCUAUUAGAUUAUAAAAUAUGAAUAGUACUUUUAUGCGUGACUUAUGUUUUUAGUUUUUUUAAAAAAAAUCAAAUAAAACGGACUAUUAAAGUUAGACACGGAAAAAUAUGACUGCACUUAUU